rnacentral:rRNA from 1 species
AUUGAACGCUGGCGGCAGGCUUAACACAUGCAAGUCGAGCGAUCGGCGGACGGGUGAGUAAUGUCUGGGAAACUGCCUGAUGGAGGGGUAUAACUACUGGACACGGUCGCUAAUACCGCAUACUAUCAGAUGUGCCCAGAUGGGAUUAGCUAGUAGGUGGGGUAAUGGCUCACCUAGGCGACGACCCCUCGCGGUUCUGAGAGGAUGACCAGCCACACUGGAACUGAGACACGGUCCAGACUCCUACGGGAGGCAGCAGUGGGGAAUAUUGCACAAUGGGCGCAAGCGUGAUGCAGCGAUGCCGCGUGUGUGAAGAAGGCCUUCGGGUUGUAAAGCACUUUCAGCGAGGAGGCGUUACUCGCAGAAGAAGCACCGGCUAACUCCGUGCCAGCAGCCGCGGUAAUUC